rnacentral:rRNA from 1 species
UGGGGAAUAUUGCACAAUGGGGGGAACCCUGAUGCAGCCAUGCCGCGUGUGUGAAGAAGGCCUUAGGGUUGUAAAGCACUUUCAGCGAGGAGGAAAGGUUAGUAGUUAAUACCUGCUAGCUGUGACGUUACUCGCAGAAGAAGCACCGGCUAACUCCGUGCCAGCAGCCGCGGUAAUACGGAGGGUGCAAGCGUUAAUCGGAAUUACUGGGCGUAAAGCGCACGCAGGCGGUUAUAUAAGCUAGAUGUGAAAGCCCCGGGCUUAACCUGGGAGAGUCAUUUAGAACUGUAUGACUAGAGUCUUGGAGAGGAGAGUGGAAUUUCAGGUGUAGCGGUGAAAUGCGUAGAUAUCUGAAGGAACAUCAGUGGCGAAGGCGGCUCUCUGGCCAAAGACUGACGCUCAUGUGCGAAAGCGUGGGUAGCGAACAGG